rnacentral:rRNA from 1 species
GACGAACGCUGGCGGCGUGCCUAAUACAUGCAAGUAGGACGCAGUUGCGAACGGGUGAGUAACGCGUAGGUAACUACCUAUUAGAGGGGGAUAACUAUUGGAAACGAUAGCCAAUACCGCAUACUAGUAGAUGGACCUGCGUUGUAUUAGCUAGUAGGUAGGGUAAUGGCCUACCUAGGCAACGCUACAUAGCCGACCGGAUAGGGUGAUCGGCCAAAGUGGGACUGAGACACGGCCCAUACUACUACGGGGGGCAGCAGUAGGGAAUCUUAGGCAAUGAGGGGAACCCUGACCGAGCAAAGGCGCGGGAGUGAAGAAGGGUUUCGGAUCGUAAAGCUCUGUUGUUAAGGGAGCGGUACUUAACCAGAAAGGGACGGCUAACUACGUGCCAGCAGCCGCGGUAAUAC